AUGUUCCUUCUCUCCAUUGAUAGCCCAGCCACCUUCCUCCCAGCCACAAAAGCCAGAAAUCCCAGUCUUCAAUCACUUUGUCCUCUCCUACCCACUCACAUCCUUACCUUGAGCUUAAUUGAGAGAAAAAGAUGAAAGCAUAAAACUUUGUGGAGUGAAAAAUUAGGCAACCAAAAUAGCAUCUUAUGAAGGGUAACUCAUGGUGGAUGUGACAAAGAAAAGAUGAUAAACCUAUAAAGGGCUACCAUCCUAAUAUUUCAGAACAGGCUUCCCGGUGAUAAGCGAUUAUAUUUCAAAGAGAUAAGAUGUGAUGCAUAUUCUCUUUAUCAUGAAAAUGUGAAACUGUAUCUUCUUGAAACUGAAAAUAAAGAUGUAUACUGACUAUAUGGCUAUGUAAUGGUUAUUAAUUAUACAGUUUUAUUUUGCUUAUGAGUCUGAAAAAUAUGUGUACAAGUGAAAAUAAAUUGAUAAGAAUGCAAGUUAUUUUACGUAAAA
rnacentral:lncRNA from 1 species